rnacentral:ncRNA from 24 species
AAAGAUAGAGGUUGAGAAUCUGUCACCAACACGCCGCUUAGCUAGCGGGUCAGAAAUGCGGGAGCCUCGACAGUCCCGCCUAUCUUA